rnacentral:rRNA from 1 species
GACGAACGCUGGCGGCGUGCCUAAUACAUGCAAGUAGAACGCUGAAGGAGGAGCUUGCUUCUCUGGAUGAGUUGCGAACGGGUGAGUAACGCGUAGGUAACCUGCCUGGUAGCGGGGGAUAACUAUUGGAAACGAUAGCUAAUACCGCAUAAUAGUAGAUGUCGCAUGACAUUUGCUUAAAAGGUGCAAUUGCAUCACUACCAGAUGGACCUGCGUUGUAUUAGCUAGUUGGUGAGGUAACGGCUCACCAAGGCAACGAUACAUAGCCGACCUGAGAGGGUGAUCGGCCACACUGGGACUGAGACACGGCCCAGACUCCUACGGGAGGCAGCAGUAGGGAAUCUUCGGCAAUGGACGGAAGUCUGACCGAGCAACGCCGCGUGAGUGAAGAAGGUUUUCGGAUCGUAAAGCUCGGUUGUAAGAGAAGAACGAGUGUGAGAGUGGAAAGUUCACACUGUGACGGUAUCUGACCAGAAAGGGACGGCUAACUACGUG